UACGAAGGGGGCUAGCGUUGCUCGGAAUCACUGGGCGUAAAGCGCACGUAGGCGGAUCUUUAAGUCAGGGGUGAAAUCCCAAGGCUCAACCUUGGAACUGCCUUUGAUACUGGGGAUCUCGAGUCCGGAAGAGGUGAGUGGAACUGCGAGUGUAGAGGUGAAAUUCGUAGAUAUUCGCAAGAACACCAGUGGCGAAGGCGGCCGACUGGUCCGGUUCUGACGCUGAGGUGCGAAAGCGUGGGGAGCAAACAGG
rnacentral:rRNA from 1 species